rnacentral:lncRNA from 1 species
UUUUUCUCUCUAAAAUCCUCUUACAUAUCAAAACAAUCUUUUUAGAUCACUAAUGCUCCUUAAUAUAUGCCUAAAAACAAGGUGUCUAAAAUAAAGCAACCAUAAUUUUAUUGUUCAAGGUUUGAAUUUACAAUCUUCUUUUUCAAUACUGCAACAAGUCAAAGAUGACAUAAUUUCCCAAUCCUUUUUUUUUAGAAGAUAAUUUCUCAAUCCCUUUGUCAGUGAACCAUGCCACCAGUACCCCCUCUAAUUUAUUUUUGCGGGCGAACCACGCAGGUGUGGGGUGGGGGGUUCUUUAUUUUUAUCUAUUUUUGAAGAAUCAACACGACCUUGGCGAACCACGCUGUUGGUGGUGAGGGUUCUUCGAUGUUCUUCAAGUAAGAACAUUGUUAUACAUAACUAUGGUAUGUAUAUAGGUAAAUUCGCAAAAUCUUCAAGUAAGAAAAAAUUUGAAGGAUUAGCACGACAUCGACUUUCAAAGAUUUUGUGAUUUGCUUUUGAAUCGGUAUUCUUUUUCUCAAUUUUAUUACUAUCUUGUACAUUGUUAAACAUAACUAUGUUAUGUACAGGGAUAAAAUCUUUUUUUUAUGACAUGUGCUCUUAUUUCUACUCCAUAUACAUUAAUACACAAUGUAUCAUUGAUCCAUUUUGUUAUUAUACAUGCAAGGGUUAUGUAUAACGGUUGUCAGUGACAUGUAAUGUAUAUGACUUGAAAUAUUCUAAUCUUAUACAUGUAAGACUUAUGUAUAAGGGGUUGUCUGUGUUAUGCAAUUUAUAUGAUUUGCCCCAAUGUUAUACAUUUUAUGUAUACAACUAUUGUUUACUGCUGCUAUUUUUUAC